GACGAACGCUGGCGGCGUGCUUAACACAUGCAAGUCGAACGGAAAGGCCCUGCUUUUGUGGGGUGCUCGAGUGGCGAACGGGUGUGUAACACGUGAGUAACCUGCCCUUGACUUUGGGAUAACUUCAGGAAACUGGGGCUAUAACAGCAUAUAACCACUUUCAACAUGUGGGGGGUCGUAAAAUUCCGGCGUUGGGGGAUGGACUGGCGGUUUAUCGGCGUGUUGGUGGGUUGGUGGAUUACAAGGGCUUUAACGGGCAGCCGGCCUGAGAGGGUGACAGGACACAAUGGGACUGAGGUACGGCCAAGACUGCUACGGGAGGCAGCAGUGGGGAAUAGUGCACAAGGCGCGGAAGCCGGGUGCAGCAACGCCGCGUGCGGGAAGACGGCCUUCGGGGUGUAAACCGCUUGCGCGUGUGAAGAAGCGUGAGUGACGGUAAUGGGUAAAAAAGCAACGGCUAACUACGUG
rnacentral:rRNA from 1 species